rnacentral:rRNA from 1 species
CCGAGAAUAUUCGACAAUGGGCGAAAGCCUGAUCGAGCGAUACCGCGUGAUGGAUGAAGUGCUUCGGCACGUAAACAUCUUUUGUGGAGGAAGAAGUUAUUGACAUUACUCCAAGAAUAAGGGGCUCCUAACUCUGUGCCAGCAGGAGCGGUAAUACAGAGGCCCCAAGCGUUACCCGGAAUUACUGGGCGUAAAGAGUGCGUAGGUGGUCGUAUUAGUCGGGUGUUAAAACCCGGAGCUCAACUCCGGAAUCGCGCCCGAAACGGUACAACUAGAGGGAGUGAGAGGUGAAUGGAACUCAUGGUGUAGGGGUGAAAUCCGUUGAUAUCAUGGGGAACACCGAAAGCGAAGGCAAUUCACUGGCACUUUCCUGACACUCAAGCACGAAAGCGUGGGUAGCGAACGGGAUUAGAUACCCCCGUAGUCC